rnacentral:rRNA from 1 species
UGGGGAAUAUUGCACAAUGGGCGCAAGCCUGAUGCAGCCAUGCCGCGUGUGUGAAGAAGGCCUUCGGGUUGUAAAGCACUUUCAGUCGUGAGGAAGGUAGUGUAGUUAAUAGCUGCAUUAUUUGACGUUAGCGACAGAAGAAGCACCGGCUAACUCCGUGCCAGCAGCCGCGGUAAUACGGAGGGUGCGAGCGUUAAUCGGAAUUACUGGGCGUAAAGCGCAUGCAGGUGGUUUGUUAAGUCAGAUGUGAAAGCCCGGGGCUCAACCUCGGAAUUGCAUUUGAAACUGGCAGACUAGAGUACUGUAGAGGGGGGUAGAAUUUCAGGUGUAGCGGUGAAAUGCGUAGAGAUCUGAAGGAAUACCGGUGGCGAAGGCGGCCCCCUGGACAGAUACUGACACU